rnacentral:rRNA from 1 species
UACGGGAGGCAGCAGUGGGGAAUCUUGGGCAAUGGGGGAAACCCUGACCCAGCAACGCCGCGUGGAGGAAGAAGCCCUUCGGGGUGUAAACUCCUUUUGCAGGGGAAGAGAGUGACGGUACCCUGCGAAUAAGCUCCGGCUAACUCCGUGCCAACAGCCGCGGUAAUACGGGGGGAGCGAGCGUUACUCGGAAUUACUGGGCGUAAAGGGUGCGUAGGCGGCUUAGUAAGUUGGGAGUGAAAUCCUACGGCUCAACCGUAGAACUGCUUCCAAAACUGCUAAGCUAGAGUCCGGGAGGGGCCGAGGGAAUUCCUGGUGUAGGGGUGAAAUCCGUAGAGAUCAGGAGGAAUACCGAAAGCGAAGGCGCUCGGCUGGAACGGGACUGACGCUGAGGCACGAAAGCGUGGGGAGCAAACAGGAUUAGAU